AGCAGGAUCAUGGCUCAGAUUGAACGUUAGCGGGAUACCUUGCACAUGCAAGUCGAACGGCAGCACGGACUUCGGUCUGGUGGCGAGUGGCGAACGGGUGAGUAAUGUAUCUGAACGUGCCUAGUAGCGGGGGAUAACCACGCGAAAGCGUAGCUAAUACCGCAUACGGCCUACGGGGGAAAGCAGGGGAUCGCAAGACCUUGCACUAUUAGAGCGGCCGAUAUCGGAUUAGCUAGUUGGUGGGGUAACGGCUCACCAAGGCGACGAUCCGUAGCUGGUUUGAGAGGACGACCAGCCACACUGGGACUGAGACCCGGCCCAGACUCCUACGGGAGGCAGCAGUGGGGAAUUUUGGCCAAUGGGGGAAGUCCUGAUCCAGACCUCCGGCGUGUGCGAUGAAGGUUUUCGGGUUGUAAAGCACUUUUGGCAGGAAAGACACGUCAUGGGCUAAUAGCCCGUGAACCUGAC
rnacentral:rRNA from 1 species